CAAAGAACAUUCCAUCAUCAUGAUGCACUGUUAUGGCGCCCUCUAUAGGCAACCCAGCUCUUCUAAUUUAAAAGUUGCUGCAUUUGUGAUGAUUUUCAUCUUGACUGGGGAUGGUUUUUCCAGCAUCAUUUGUUAGACUAUUCUUACCUCCAUGGUGAUUCUUGGCGCCAUUGUCAAAGGCCAGCUGACUGUAUAUGUAUAUGUCACCGUGAGAUUCCCUAUGCAGAGGCCCAUGUGGCAACAAACUGAUGUGUCCUUCCAACAACCAGGCCUGAGACCUCACAAGACCCAACUGGAUCUCCCAGACAGAGCAGGCAGAACACCAUUUCUGCUGCCCCACAGCCCUCAAAGUUGUUACUCCCCGACUCUGGAAGGUUCUCAGUGACUAGAGACUGGUGCGGACCCCCAGCACAGUGUAGCCACCCCCAUGAAAACGUGGGAACCCUCAAGAGACAACUGAAAAAAUCUCUCUCACAACCAUCAUCAAGAUCCCAUUCCCUGCUGCCUCCAAGCUGGGGAGAGAACAUAAAGCUUGAGCUCGCCUCAGACCAGUGGUAUACAGCUCAGGACAGCCAAGGUGAGAUCUGCAACCAACACUCAAGUGGAAGAGGAGCACACACUUUCAGACCACUGAGGGGGUGCAUGACUGCAAUCAUGAGCAAAAUACAGAUGAGCAUGUGGCUGAAGAAGAGUCUACCUACUGGCCAUUAUAUUUAAGCACCAUCUACUGCAUCACAGUGUAACAUCAACAGCAAAAAUACUUUGUUAAUAUACCCCCUGGGGAACUAAGGACAAUAAUUUAACUACAAAUAAAGACCCUACCUAAA
rnacentral:lncRNA from 1 species